rnacentral:rRNA from 1 species
UACAGAGGGUGCAAGCGUUGUCCGGAAUCACUGGGCGUAAAGGGCGCGUAGGCGGCCUGAUAAGUAGGGGGUGAAAUCCUGGGGCUUAACCUCAGGGCUGCCCUCUAGACUGUCCGGCUCGAGCACAGUAGAGGCAGGUGGAAUUCCCGGUGUAGCGGUGGAAUGCGUAGAGAUCGGGAAGAACAUCGGUGGCGAAGGCGGCCUGCUGGGCUGUUGCUGACGCUGAGGCGCGACAGCGUGGGGAGCAAACAGG